UUGAGAGUUUGAUCCUGGCUCAGAACGAACGCUGGCGGCAGGCCUAACACAUGCAAGUCGAGCGCUACCUUCGGGUGGAGCGGCGGACGGGUUAGUAACGCGUGGGAAUAUACCCAGUUCUAAGGAAUAGCCACUGGAAACGGUGAGUAAUACCUUAUACGCCCUUCGGGGGAAAGAUUUAUCGGAAUUGGAUUAGCCCGCGUUAGAUUAGAUAGUUGGUGGGGUAAUGGCCUACCAAGUCUACGAUCUAUAGCUGGUUUGAGAGGAUGAUCAGCAACACUGGGACUGAGACACGGCCCAGACUCCUACGGGAGGCAGCAGUGGGGAAUCUUAGACAAUGGGCGCAAGCCUGAUCUAGCCAUGCCGCGUGAGUGAUGAAGCCCUAGGGUCGUAAAGCUC
rnacentral:rRNA from 1 species